GGUUCCUACGGGGCGCAGCAGUGGGGAAUAUUGCACAAUGGGGGAAACCCUGAUGCAGCAACGCCGCGUGAGUGAAGAAGUAUUUCGGUAUGUAAAGCUCUAUCAGCAGGGAAGAAGAAAGACGGUACCUGACUAAGAAGCCCCGGCUAACUACGUGCCAGCAGCCGCGGUAAUACGUAGGGGGCAAGCGUUAUCCGGAUUUACUGGGUGUAAAGGGAGCGUAGACGGCUGUGCAAGUCUGAAGUGAAAGCCCGUGGCUCAACCGCGGAACUGCUUUGGAAACUGUGCAGCUGGAGUGCAGGAGG
rnacentral:rRNA from 1 species